CUGGACAGCCUUCUGAAGGAUGAGAGGCACACGGAGCAGAGCCAAGUUUCUCCCGUCACCCCAUCCAAAUUCAACUACAUCAGCCAAGGUCAGCCAACAUCAGCCAGCAAUGAUGGAACCCCCCAGACAUAGACUGGAGCAUGCAGAUAAGGUGAGUGUGUGACGGCAGAAAUGCAGAAAAGAAGCUCUUUCCUUAACCACACACGGGGUGGAAAGAACGCCUUGUCCAGAAGCCGAAGGACACUGAGGCUCUAAACUCCUGCUGUGUGGGCUGCAGCAGGCCACUGCUCUUCUCUGACCCUCAGUUUCUUCAUCUGUAAAACUGGAACAUGAUGCCCCACUGGAAGGCUAUCGUGAGGGCUGGACACGGCGAUGUAAAUUGAGGGCCAAGCGUGGAGCCGGCAUAGAGUGGACACUAAAAUACACCAGGCUGUUUCAUUUGGCAAAAGGGGUUCAAUUCUGUCUUUUAAACUCAUGCACUUUGGCAUAUUUGGCUUCUAAAUAUGCAGUGAGGCAGGAAGAGCAAUGAGUCUGGAAGCCAGAGAUUCUCGUGCAUCCAUUCUCUCCUCUGUCUCAGCUUUGCAUUGUACCUUGGGUGAGCCAUUGCACCUCCCUGACCCUCUGUGUCUUCAUCUACCAGACAGAAAAAAUUACACUUACUCCUAAACCAUAAUGUUUGGCAAGACCCAGUGAACCUCACAAAGCACCCCCAAAAGGCAGGCAGGAUGAGGAGUUCUCCCUGUUGAGCUGUGUGAGCUGCCCAGAUUGAUAUGCCUAGAAGGCACCCCAUUUGGAAGUAAACACAGGCUCCAUUUAAGGAUGCACGGAAGGUUGGAACACUUUAUUCCUGAACACAUUUAUGUAAAAUUAAUUGCAUCACCUGUUCUCUGCAUCUUCUAAUUGCAAAACCAAUUAACUUUAAAAUGCUCAGCACAGUGUGGCCAAGGGAAGGGAAGGCAAAGACCAGGCUGGCUUUGCAAACUCUGUGCCAUUUGUAGUGGCCACAGUGGCCCUAGGAAGUCCCAGCCAUUCCCAUCUGCUGGCCGAGGAGGCCCUGUGGGAUGCUGGGAGACUCUAGGAGAUGAGCAAGACCCUCAGAGUCUGGGGCUGGAAACUUCCUAGCACAAGUGAGCUGAGUGGUCAUGGGCCAGGUGAUGGAGUGGACAUUCCCCAGUGGUGGCCAGAAUGACCCAAUAUCAACUGCCCCUCCACCCAGCACCCCCAUUCCCUUUACCCUGUAUUUUGUUCCCCUCUGCCAUUUUCACUGCCCGACUGGCUGUGUAGCUAUUUGUUUAUCAUGUUUCUCCUCAGUAAAAUGUUGACUCCACAAAGACAUGUCUAUUGCACCUCCUGCUGUGUGCCUGGGACCUAGAACAGUGCCUGGCACAUAGUAGGUGCUCAGACAAAUGAAUGAAUGAAUGAAUGAAUGAAUGAAUGAAUGAAUGAAUGAACUAAUGGACUUCAGCUCAUUGUGAGAUGGGA
rnacentral:lncRNA from 1 species